GCCUGGGUGGCUCAGUCAGUUGAGUGUCUGACUUCAGCUUGGGUCAUGGUCUCAGGGUUUGUGAGUUCAAGCCCCACAUCAGGUA
rnacentral:tRNA from 1 species